rnacentral:rRNA from 1 species
AUACCGGCGGCUCGAGUGGUGGCCACUUUUAUUGGGCUUAAAGCGUUCGUAGCUGGGUUGUUAAGUCUCUUGGGAAAUCCGGCAGCUUAACUGUCGGGCGUCUAAGAGAUACUGGCAAUCUUGGAACCGGGAGAGGUGAGGGGUACUUCGGGGGUAGGAGUGAAAUCCUGUAAUCCUCGAGGGACCACCUGUGGCGAAGGCGCCUCACCAGAACGGCUUCGACAGUGAGGGACGAAAGCUGGGGGAGCAAACCGGAUUAGAUACCCGGGUAGUCCCAGCCGUAAACGAUGUGCGUUAGGUGUAUCGACGACCACGAGUUGUCGAGGUGCCGAAGGGAAACCGUGAAACGUACCGCCUGGGAAGUACGGUCGCAAGGCUGAA